GGGAUUACCUCAGUAACGGCGAGUGAAGCGGUAACAGCUCAAAUUUGAAAUCUGCCGCAAGGCCGAGUUGUAAUUUGUAGAAGAUGCUUUGGGUAUGGCCCCGGUCUAAGUUCGUUGGAACACGACGUCAUAGAGGGUGAGAAUCCCGUAUGUGACUGGGUGCUUUUGCCUAUGUAAAGCUCUUUCGACGAGUCGAGUUGUUUGGGAAUGCAGCUCAAAAUGGGUGGUAUAUUUCAUCUAAAGCUAAAUAUUGGCCAGAGACCGAUAGCGCACAAGUAGAGUGAUCGAAAGAUGAAAAGCACUUUGGAAAGAGAGUUAAACAGUACGUGAAAUUGUUGAAAGGGAAGCGCUUGCAACCAGACUUGCACGCUGUUGAUCAUCCAGGCUUCUGUUUGGUGCACUCAACUGUGUUCAGGCCAGCAUCGGUUUUGGUGGUGGGAUAAAGGCCUUGGGAAUGUAGCUUCUUUCGGGGAGUGUUAUAGCCCUCGGUGCAAUGCCGCCUACCGGGACCGAGGACCGCGCUUCGGCUAGGAUGCUGGCGUAAUGGUUGUAAGCGACCCGUCUUGAAACACGGACCAAGGAGUCUAACAUCUAUGCGAGUGUUUGGGUGUCAAACCCAUACGCGUAAUUAACGUGAACGGAGGUGAGAACCCUUAAGGGUGCAUCAUCGACCGAUCCUGAUGUCUUCGGAUGGAUUUGAGUAAGAGCAUAGCUGUUGGGACCCGAAAGAUGGUGAACUAUGCCUGAAUAGGGUGAAGCCAGAGGAAACUCUGGUGGAGGCUCGCAGCGGUUCUGACGUGCAAAUCGAUCGUCAAAUUUGGGUAUAGGGGCGAAAGACUAAUCGAACCAUCUA
rnacentral:rRNA from 2 species